CAGAUGUUUCAGAUGGGAGGGGUUGGACUUCAGAGCUGGUCCCAGAGAAUCACAGCUGAUCUCUGACAAACUGCAGCUGUUCAACCUGAAUAAAGAAUAAAAGAUGUAGAUUAAACCCUGAAUGAUUCAGUCUGAUGUGUCGAGGAGCUUUUCUCUAAAAUAAACAGACUGACUUUCUCCUCCUGUUGUAAGGGGCCUAAAAAUGACCCCCAAGAACAAGAUGGACCCAACACUUCAUAGAAACAGGAACACACACACACACACUAACAGAUAAACAUCUGAACACAUGAUCUCAUCUGUGUGUGUUGACCAGGAAUGAAGCAUCAACGUUCCACAGUUUAACCCUUAUGUCCUCCUCCAGGUCACCGCCCUCUGGACACCGUGGUGGAAACAAUGUCCACACAUAAAGAAACUGACAUAAAAUCAUCACACUUCAAUAUUUUCUCUGCUUUUUUCAUCAACCACUUAAACAACUUCAGACCUGCUCAAAACUCCCAAAACUACGACUAAAAGGAGUUUAUCAGGAUUUUAACCCUUUAAAUGCUGCUGUGAAAAUAACAUGAUGUUCCAUGAAAUAAACAGGAGGUGGGCGGGGCUUUGGUGGUAAUCAGAGUCUGGGAUGUGUCACAGCAAUAAAACUGAUUUGAUUGCAUCAUUAUCUCGUAUGCAGUGUCAGAUUUAAAACACCAGACACCUUUGUGGCAAAAAUGUGCAGGUACAAAGGAGGAAGUUCUUUCUUAGGGCUGGACAAUUAUGGAAAAAAUGAUCAUCAUGAUUGUUUUGAUUGAUACUGAAAUCAUGAUUAAUAGACAUGAUUAAUCAUUGAUUUAAAAAAGUAUUUAUUGAACCAUCAAAACUCAACUUUAAAUCCAACGUUUUAUAUCAUAAAUGUCACAGCCUCCGUUAUCUGUCUCUGUCUCCAGGAGCUGGUGGGACAUGGAGCGGCUGUACAGAGUGUCCUCCAUGGAGGACUGAGUGGCUGAAGUUCAUGCACUUUUUGGGUCUGUUGCUCCCUCAAUACUUUGUCAUAGACACUUCAUGGCAGAACUUUAAAUGGCUAAAUAAAUUUGUCGUGUUGCUUUGAGGUGCAGACAUGACAGCAACACGUAUCUCCUUCUGCUCCACGUCCAACAAUUUGAAUCCAAAAUGUCUCCAAAUGACUGAAGUUGUCCAACCUGUCUUUUAACUAAAGGCUCAGGCUGCUUUCUGCCAUGUUGUCAAUCACUGUCCCACAAUGAGCCACACACGUCACUAGAGGCGGAGCUAGACUUUUAUCCUUGGGAUGGCCUGGGGGCAGAGGCGGAGCUAGACUUUUAUCCUUGGGGGCAGAGGCGGAGCUAGCACUGGACCCCACCCUGACAUCUGAUUGGACUCCCUAGGUGCCCCAGAUGAUUGACAUAUGACAUAUGUCUUGUCGAAAGGAGCCAGUUGCAUUUUUAAAUCGCAGGGAAAACAGGAUUGGACGACAACCUCAGAGGAAAACUUCUCAAUGACCAACAAGAAGACCAACAUCUGUAACAUGGAGAUGGAAAAUAACGCAUCACACUGAGACAGAUCCACACUGCAAACACACAAGACAACGCCAUAUUCCAAAAUGUCAACUCUAUAAACAUCUCCACAACAAACCGGAUAUUGACCAAGUAUCAGACGACCAUGAAGCAACAGGUUUCCAUUUGAGAGGAGCUGUGAUAGUGAAAGAGCUGCAGUACCAGUAGGUACAUGUAAGUCAGUCACUGGUUGUCUGUCAUUAUAACCUUUUUACCAUUAAGCAGUGGUUCCCAAACCCCUUUACCUCUUUACCUGAUGUCUGAAUCCAAGUAUCUGCUUAAUUAGCGCCUCCCAAGCAGAUCUAUCUAAUACUGUGGGUUUUACUGUAACAUUACACUAUGUCUAGUCAUUGAUGAUUUCCCCCUCUGCUUUCUCUCACAUCCCCUCUGUGGUUCCUCUGCGUAGGCCUGUCCCUAGGGGAACAUGGACCCCAGGUUUGGAACCACUGCAGUAGUGGCCAGUAGUAUAUAGAACUUGUGGAGGAGAACAUAGAACAUUACCAUGUCAUUUUAAUUUUCUGAUGUGAACCUUUUUUUAGCUCUGCUGCCAUUUCUGAAAAAGGUGUGGACACUCACAUCCCCAGUCUUGGCCCAUACAAUACACAGAAGCUCCUCAUCUUCUUGGACCGUCUUCAUUCUGAUUUGAUCCCUGAGAAUGAGAGAGGCCUCGUAGGGCCUCACCUACCAAAGCAUGUAACUGUGUGGGACAAUGUGAAGUUUCACCGUGGCUGCUCAUCAGAGCCUGGUUCACUACUCAGCCAAGGAUGGUCAUGGUCCUACCACCUUACUUUCCUUUCCUCAGUCCUGUUGAGGAGUUUUUCUCCGCUUGGAGGUGGAGAGUGUAUGAGCAUCAGGCUCAAAAUCACAGGUCCUUGCUCCAUCCAGUGGUUUUACAAUGGUCAUGAUAUUACAGGAGAUCAGUGCAGGGGAUGGUUGUGACAUGUACGUUGUUUCUUCCCUCGUUGCAUCGCAAGGGAGAAUAUACGCUGUGAUGUGGACGAGAAUCUGUGGCCAGACAGACAGAAGUGUGAGGAUGGUCAGGAGAAGGAGGGUGAGGAAGAGGAUGAUGUCCAGUAGGGUGAGGAUGAGGGAGAGGGAGGGUGAGAACAGUGACCAGUGAAGAAAUGUUAGUUUUGAAUCUCCGGCUUUAUUUACAGCACUGUAGGCUACAUAUAACUUUCCUUGUUUUUUGUGUGUAUGUGUUUAUAUUACAGUAUAUUGUGCUGUAUACAUUUAUUUUAACUCUGAUUUAUGGAAGUUACUUCAUGUGUGUGAAUAAAAAUGGUUAAAUUUC